UCUCUUAGCUCAACUGUUAAAACUGAAAGUUCCCAUCUGAUCUCAGAAGCUAAGCAGGGUUGGGCCUGGUUAGUACUUGGAUGGGAGACCACCUAGGAAUACCAGGUGCUGUAGGCA
rnacentral:rRNA from 1 species